CAGCCGCCGCGGUAAUACGAAGGGUGCAAGCGUUAAUCGGAAUUACUGGGCGUAAAGCGUGCGUAGGCGGUUUGUUAAGUCUGCUGUGAAAUCCCCGGGCUCAACCUGGGAAUGGCAGCGGAUACUGGCAAGCUAGAGUGUGUCAGAGGAUGGUGGAAUUCCCGGUGUAGCGGUGAAAUGCGUAGAGGUCGGGAGGAACAUCAGUGGCGAAGGCGGCCAUCUGGGACAACACUGACGCUGAGGCACGAGAGCGUGGGGAGCAAACAGGAUUAGAUACCCCCGUAGUCCCUGUCUCUUAUAC
rnacentral:rRNA from 1 species